rnacentral:lncRNA from 14 species
CAGGAAGGAACCUGUGUGCCUCAACAGUGUAUUUCUUCAUCCAAUUUACAAGCUCUGACUACUUGGUUGGAGAAUAGGAGUACUUGGUUGUUCUCCCUCCUGCAUCAUCUGCAGUGCUGCAGAACCCAGAACAACACCACCUGCAUUCAGGAGGGAUGGACCUCUGUGAUUGCACACGUGUGGAGUGGGAGAGCCAUGGAGACCAUCGCCUUUGGCAACUCAGCAGAAGUCCUGAAAACUGGCAAAGCAGCUCAGAGCUGUAAGAGAUCUUGGACAAAUUCCUCCUGCCUGCACAGGUUGUUGAGACGUGGUGCAACAGAAGGUUACAGAUAAAAAUGCCA